GACUGGGAUAACUUCGGGAAACCGGAGCUAAUACCGGAUAAUAUUUUGAACCGCAUGGUUCGAAAGUGAAAGACGGUCUUGCUGUCACUUAUAGAUGGAUCCGCGCUGCAUUAGCUAGUUGGUAAGGUAACGGCUUACCAAGGCAACGAUGCAUAGCCGACCUGAGAGGGUGAUCGGCCACACUGGAACUGAGACACGGUCCAGACUCCUACGGGAGGCAGCAGUAGGGAAUCUUCCGCAAUGGGCGAAAGCCUGACGGAGCAACGCCGCGUGAGUGAUGAAGGUCUUCGGAUCGUAAAACUCUGUUAUUAGGGAAGAACAUAUGUGUAAGUAACUGUGCACAUCUUGACGGUACCUAACCAGAAAGCCACGGCUAACUACGUGCCAGCAGCCGCGGUAAUAC
rnacentral:rRNA from 1 species